GCCCCGGAAAACUCUUGUGGGGCCCGGGUCUCCGGGGCUUCUUCCGCUCCGGGGCUUCGGCAGCAAUUCGGCGGUGGCGGGGGGUCCUUCCGUCCCGGGCCCCACCGCCGAAAUGACGCACUGGAGCUAGGAGGUGCACGGCUGUGGCGAAUUAACUUGUUAAGCACACCCUGGCUAACAGAAAUCUAGUGCAACAGAUGUAAUACACAAGGAGUAUGUGCAACAAGCAUGGCUUGUUCUCUCUGUCAGCCUCUUGCCAUCCUCCUCCCCCUGAGGCCAUCCCCAUUGGCAUCUUUAUUGUGCUUCUGAUUUAGACUGAUUUUAUAAGCUCCUCCGAGCAGCGCUCCUGUCUUUUUUUAUCUGCCUAUAAAUACUCAGCACUUACAUCACACCUUUCACUGAAAGAUCUCAAAGCACUUUACAAACAUAUGUAUGUGUCAUUACAGAUGAGGGAACCAAGGCACAGAUUAUAAACCCAAGAUUACAUGGUGGGUCAGUGGCAGAGCCAGGAACCAAGCUCACCAUGCCUGAUUCCCAGGCAGUGCCCAAGCUAUUCAUCCACACUGCCUACUUCUCCAGCACCUAUGCAUCUUUAUAAACAAGUCUGCACUAGGGCAGUGUCCCUCAUACCCCAGUCCCCUCUCCACUCGCAUUGGACAAUUGUGGAUUCAUUGUAAAUCACAGACUCUGGAGACUAAAAAGACCAGUUAAAGUGGACCAUCCAGUAUUUCUCCCUACCAACACGGGAUUGUGCCCACCUGUGCAUUUAAAACUCGCCUGGAGUUUUACAUGUGCCAAGCAAUAGGGCGUCCACUGCUUGCCUCAGGAGAUCUCGCUGAGGACAUAAAGAGCUAUGAUGCUGUGACACUCAGCAUUGCAACAACUAAGUCCUGUCGUGGAUCCCUCCCAAAGUACUUUACAAAAAGGGAGUAGCAUCAUUAUCUCCAUUUUAUAGAUGGAGAAACUGACCAGGCAGAGUGACUUGCUGCAGUGAUUAGGACUGGGAGGCAGAUCUGAUUCCCAGACUUGUGUCCAGCCCAGAAGACCCUAGUUGCUAUCAGUGCUCUUGCUGUGCUUUGCACCAUUACUGCAGAAUUCCGCUGUGGGAAAUGCCAGGUAUUAAUUAUUACUAUUAUUUGGGCGUCACUGUUUCCACUCACACUUCCUAUCACGCAGCCCUGCACCUUUGCUGAUGGAGAAUCAUGUCUUGCUCUUUUGACACUUAGACACUGUUCAUUUGCUUUGAGACGUGGUUUUAUCAUUUCAUUGGAAAAACAAAACAGUCCAAAGCCAUUUCUUUUUGUUUUCUUCCCCCCCCAGCUCUUCUCCUCCUCUUGACCUACAGGUAAAAAACUGGUGGCUUAGACCAGUGCAGGGGGGAGGGGGUGUUAAAAUAAGUACUUCAGACAACUGAAUGAGGAAAAUAACAGAGCCUGGGAAAGAGGAACAUACUUAGUUUAUCUGAGACAUGUUUUUAAAAGGGCUGAGUGUGUGGUGAGAGCUGGCCUAGCCAUGGCCUGCUGUAGAGAAUCCUCUUUCAUUUCAAUUCCCCAGGAUGAAAAGGUGAUGCUGGCUAAUUUGAACCUAGUCAUUAGGACCCCCUUUCAAUUCAAUUAAGCUCUGUUCUCUUCCUCAGCCUGUGGGCCUUGGUCUGUUGUUAUUAAUCAGGAGACAGGGAAAUUGCUUUCACCGUAAAACUUUCACAUUCUUCGCUGGAAGCAAAACACUGAUCUGAUUUUGCCUGAUGGAAGAGGUUUUUAUGCCUGCUGGACAUGAGUGGUGGGAAUGCUUCACCUCCCAGAAGACAGCAGUUUAGCACAACUCCUAUGGGGUAGAGUGGGACAGGCAGAUUACUGAUAGAGUAGGAGAGGCCCAGCUGGAGUCCAGUUACAGUGGUGGAUCCCAGUUCACCAGGACAUGUGUAGCAGGCAGGAUGGAUUCUCACUCUGGAAGCCACACAUGGGCAUGGAUUUUAGUGGUGGAGAAGAUUCAGCUCCAGAGAGGCAUAUUUGAAAUUUUCAUAAAAUAGAUACUACAGCACUGGUCCCAAAUGCUGUAGUGACUACACUAUAAACUCUGACCUUAGAGAUCAUGAUUGCAGAGCACUGCCUUAUUGCUUUCUGUAAGGGCUCCUAACUCGCGAUGUCUGGUUUAUGGGGGAACUUCCCUUUUUUUCCCAUGUACACAUUCUGGAGAGAUGAAUUACUCUAGUUUGCACUCUUAUACCUCCCAUCAUCCCUCUGUAAGUAUCAUUAACUCUCUUUUAUAUAAGGGAAAAUGGAGGCACCAAAACAUAUGAUCUGCCCAAGAUACAAAGGAGGCAAGUGGGAGAGUUGCAGGGCUGUAACCAGGGUGGGGCGAGCAGGGAAACCGCCCAGGGCACAAAGCCGUGGGGGCGGAAAAUGAUGGAAAGAAAGGUAGGGGCACAAAUAUGCUUGCUCGCCCUCAGCACUAAAAUGCCUAGUUAUGUCUCUGGAUAUAUACAAACCCAUGUAUACAAGUUUUAUGCAGAUGGUUCUUUUAAAAUUUAUUAUUUUAAUGUAUUCAGGAAAGUGGGGCCAGGAAAGAUCUUUACAAAUUUCAGUUACAUCAACACUAGCGGGGUGUUUUUUGGCUUGCAUCUAUCCCUGUGGAAACAGAGCAGAAAUGGUGGAGGCACCUGGACAACGGAAGAGGGAGUAGCAUAUAUUUUAAAAAUGUAACUUAAUAAAA